AGAGUUUGAUCAUGGCUCAGGAUGAACGCUAGCGGCAGGCUUAACACAUGCAAGUCGAGGGGUAGAGGAAGCUUGCUUCCUUGAGACCGGCGCACGGGUGCGUAACGCGUAUGCAACCUACCUUUUACAGAGGGAUAGCCCAGAGAAAUUUGGAUUAAUACCUCAUGGUAUAUAUCAUUCGCAUGUUUGAUAUAUUAAAGUUCCAACGGUAAAAGAUGGGCAUGCGUCCUAUUAGCUAGAUGGUAAGGUAACGGCUUACCAUGGCAACGAUAGGUAGGGGUCCUGAGAGGGAGAUCCCCCACACUGGUACUGAGACACGGACCAGACUCCUACGGGAGGCAGCAGUGAGGAAUAUUGGACAAUGGGCGCAAGCCUGAUCCAGCCAUGCCGCGUGCAGGAAGAAGCAUCUAUGGUGUGUAAACUGCUUUUGUACGGGAAGAAACACUCCUUCGUGAAGGAGCUUGACGGUACCGUAAGAAUAAGGAUCGGCUAACUCCGUGCCAGCAGCCGCGGUAAUACGGAGGAUCCAAGCGUUAUCCGGAAUCAUUGGGUUUAAAGGGUCCGUAGGCGGUUUGGUAAGUCAGUGGUGAAAGCCCGCAGCUCAACUGUGGAACGGCCAUUGAUACUGCCAGACUUGAAUUACAAGGAAGUAACUAGAAUAUGUAGUGUAGCGGUGAAAUGCUUAGAUAUUACAUGGAAUACCAAUUGCGAAGGCAGGUUACUACUUGUGGAUUGACGCUGAUGGACGAAAGCGUGGGGAGCGAACAGGAUUAGAUACCCUGGUAGUCCACGCCGUAAACGAUGGAUACUAGCUGUUGGGGGCAACUUCAGUGGCUAAGCGAAAGUGAU
rnacentral:rRNA from 1 species